rnacentral:rRNA from 1 species
UACAGAGGGGGCCAGCGUUAUUCGGAAUUAUUGGGCGUAAAGGGCGCGUAGGCGGCCGCCUAAGUCAGACGUGAAAUCCCUCGGCUCAACCGGGGAACUGCGUCUGAUACUGGGUGGCUUGAAUCCGGGAGAGGGAUGCGGAAUUCCAGGUGUAGCGGUGAAAUGCGUAGAUAUCUGGAGGAACACCGGUGGCGAAGGCGGCAUCCUGGACCGGCAUUGACGCUGAGGCGCGAAAGCCAGGGGAGCAAACGGG